rnacentral:rRNA from 1 species
GACGAACGCUGGCGGCGUGCUUAACACAUGCAAGUCGAGCGGAAAGGCCACUUCGGUGGUACCCGAGCGGCGAACGGGUGAGUAACACGUGAGUAAUCUGCCCCUGGCUUUGGGAUAGCCACCGGAAACGGGGAUUAAUACCGGAUACGACCACUUCUCGCAUGGGAUGGUGGUGGAAAGUUUUUUCGGCCAGGGAUGUGCUCGCGGCCUAUCAGCUUGAUGGUGAGGUAAUGGCUCACCAUGGCUUCGACGGGUAGCCGGCCUGAGAGGGUGACCGGCCACACUGGGACUGAGACACGGCCCAGACUCCUACGGGAGGCGGCAGUGGGGAAUAUUGGACAAUGGGCGGAAGCCUGAUCCAGCAACGCCGCGUGAGGGAUGACGGCCUUCGGGUUGUAAACCUCUUUCAGCAGGGACGAAGCGCAAGUGACGGUACCUGCAGAAGAAGCACCGGCCAACUACGUGCCAGCCGCCGCGGUAA